rnacentral:rRNA from 1 species
GAUGAACGCUAGCUACAGGCUUAACACAUGCAAGUCGAGGGGUCUUUUGGAGCUUGCUUUAAAAGACGACCGGCGCACGGGUGAGUAACGCGUAUCCAACCUGCCCUUCAUAUUGGGAUAGCCUUCCGAAAGGAAGAUUAAUACCGAAUAACAUGAUAGAGUUGCCUGAUUUUAUCAUGAAAGCUCCGGCGAUGAAGGAUGGGGAUGCGUUCCAUUAGGUAGUAGGCGGGGUAACGGCCCACCUAGCCGACGAUGGAUAGGGGUUCUGAGAGGAAGGUCCACCACACUGGAACUGAGACACGGGCCAGACUCCUACGGGAGGCAGCAGUGAGGAAUAUUGGUCAAUGGGCGCAAGCCUGAACCAGCCAAGUAGCGUGAAGGAUGACUGCCCUAUGGGUUGUAAACUUCUUUUAUACGGGAACAAACCCCGGUACGUGUACCGGAUUGCGUGUACCGUAUGAAUAAGCAUCGGCUAACUCCGUGCCAGCCGCCGCAGUAACAC